CAUUUGGGAGCAAUUUAGCAAGAACAUACCUUUUUGAAAUAAUGGUGAACCAGCAUACUGUAUAGGCUUUUUAAAAAUUACAGGGUACAUAUCUAUGCAUUUAUAAAGUAAUCUUUUUUAACAAAAGUGCACUGAAAACGAAAACUAUUGCAACUUUUGCUUAAAUAUUGGGGAAAGAUACUCUUGUUUCAUGUAGUGGGUAAGUACAAUAAAAAUGCAUACACAAUCUUA